AUACGAAGGGGGCUAGCGUUGUUCGGAAUUACUGGGCGUAAAGCGCGCGUAGGCGGACUGAUCAGUUGGGGGUGAAAUCCCAGGGCUUAACCCUGGAACUGCCUCCAAUACUGUCAGUCUUGAGUUCGGGAGAGGUGAGUGGAAUUCCUAGUGUCGAGGUGAAAUUCGUAGAUAUUAGGAAGAACACCAGUGGCGAAGGCGGCUCACUGGCCCGAUACUGACGCUGAGGCGCGAAAGCGUGGGGAGCAAACAGGAUUAGAUACCCUAGUAGUCC
rnacentral:rRNA from 1 species